rnacentral:rRNA from 1 species
AUACGGAGGAUCCGAGCGUUAUCCGGAUUUAUUGGGUUUAAAGGGAGCGUAGGUGGAUUGUUAAGUCAGUUGUGAAAGUUUGCGGCUCAACCGUAAAAUUGCAGUUGAAACUGGCAGUCUUGAGUACAGUAGAGGUGGGCGGAAUUCGUGGUGUAGCGGUGAAAUGCUUAGAUAUCACGAAGAACUCCGAUUGCGAAGGCUGCUCACUAGACUGUUACUGACACUGAUGCUCGAAAGUGUGGGUAUCAAACAGGAUUAGAUGCCCUGGUAGUCCACACAGUAAACGAUGAAUACUCGCUGUUUGCGAUAUACAGUAAGCGGCCAAGCGAAAGCAUUAAGUAUUCCCCCUGGGGAGUACGCCGGCAACGGUGAAACUCAAAUGAAUUGACGGGG